rnacentral:rRNA from 1 species
AUGGAGGAAGCAGCGUAUCCCGUUGGUUUGGAUCCUGCAAGGCUGGCGGAGGCGCCGCGGCUGGUCGGCUCGGUUUCUCGGGCCAUCGAGGGACUGGCCACCGAGAUCCAAUCGCGCGGCGGCCUGCACGGCCACGUCUCCCGGGCGUGGGGGCGCGGCUGGAAGGCGCCCUUCCCGGAGCUGGAGGUGCUCAAGGUCCACAUGCUCAAGAUCUGGUUCAUCUCCGCCGACGCCGACCCGCCGCGUGCCGGUGACAAGGCGCUGGCUAAGCAAGCCAGAGACGCCACCUAUUUGGUGGAUGGACUUCAGGACAUGAUUCAGUACAGUAUGCUUCUAUCCUACCUAGCCCCGCGCGCCAAGAUUCAAUUCAAGCUGCUUUCCGCUCUGAGGUGCCUGCUUGCUUUCGGGUUUUCAAAUCCAAACAAGAUCUUGAGGGGCAUCAAACUUGUGAAUGAAGAAACUCGCAGGCUUGGCCAUCUGCUGGAAAAGGAAAAGGCCGCUGGCAAUCCUCUGCCGCCGCCACCUUAUUCGGGCAAGCAAGUUCUUCAGAGGGGGCUAGUAUUUGGGCGCCACAAGGAUGCCAAUGAAAUCGUGCAGAUGCUCAUCCAGCCGUGCGGUAAGCCUGCAACUGAGAGGAUUGUCUCCAUUGUUGGUCCGGGGGGCAUCGGGAAGACCACGCUGGCUCAGAUGGUAUCCAAUGAUGCAAGAGUCAGGCUGCAUUUUGAUGUCACAUGUUGGGUAUCCCUUUCCAGUGUUUCUAGCAAAGUGGAGCUUGCUGCAGAGAUCUUAAGGUUGGCUCACCCAGCUUGGGACGGGUCUGCUGAGAAGAUGCUGGAUUUUCAGAUGCUUCAGUCUGAGCUCCAUCGGUUUGUUACAUCCAAAAGGUAUCUCAUUAUUCUAGAUGAUGUUUGUUGUAGCAGCACGGAUGAAUCCUGGCUGGACAUGUUCACUCCUCUACAGUCUGCAGAUAUUGGGAGCAGAGUUUUGGUGACUUCUCGCACCAACACCGUGCCUCACAUGCUGGGUGCAUCACAGAUGUACAAUGUAAACCCGCUUACUAGUGACGACUGCUGGGCCCUGCUUAAGGAACAUGCUUUUCCGAGUGAUACCGAGGAUGUCCAUCCAGAUCUUGAGCUGGUCGGGAGGAAAAUUGCUGCAAAAAUCAGUGGAUUACCUUUGGCUGCCAAGUUGCUGGGAGGGGUGCUAAGAGCUUCAAGGAGUGAGUCACACUGGAUGAAUAUCUUGGAAACAGAACUGCAAGACAACACUGUUUCCCCCGCUAUGCACUUGAGCUAUAAGUACCUGCCAGCACACCUCAAGCGAUGCUUUGCAUACUGCAGUUUGUUUCGACAUGCUUAUAAGUUUGAUCCAGCACACUUGUCCCGUCUUUGGAUUGCCGAGGGUUUUGUUCAACUGCAAGGCAGGGCUGACAAAAGGAUGGAAGACAUAGCUAGAGAAUAUUUUGAUCUGCUCCUUUCACGCUCUUUUUUUCAGGAAAUCAAGCUUGGACCCAAGACAUACUACUUGAUGCACAGUUUACUGCAUGAUCUUGCAAAGUCUGUUGCAGCGGAGGACUGCUUCCAUAUUGAAGAUGGCAUGAAAUGUGACAUCCCAUCAACAGUGCGCCAUUUGUCGGUCACUUUGCACAGUCUACCUGCUCUCACGAGCUUCCGUGGGCUAGAGGAGCUGCGCACCUUGUUAAUCCGACCAUCAAUUACGUCCUCCUCCAGCACCUUCCUGGAGGAUUUUGCUGUGAAUUUAAAAAGUAUCCUGGAGAAGUCAAAGCAUUUGCGUGUUCUUGAUCUCAGCGGCUAUAACUCCAAAGAGUUGCCUUAUUGCAUCUAUGAAUUGCUGCACCUCCGUUACCUAUCUAUCCAUGGCUCCAUCCAAAGACUAUCUGAGUCCAUUGCCAAGCUUCUGCAUCUGCAAACAUUGUGCAUCACUGGAAAAUGUUCCCUUGAGAAGCUUCCUGCGAGCAUUAGUAUCUUGGUCAAUCUGCGGCAUCUUAUGGUUGAAAUAAAGUAUACUGCAGGAUUGGUAGGCAUUGGCCAGCUGACAAACAUGCAGGGAUCACUUGAGCUCCGCAUUGAGAAGAGGGAAGGACAUAAACUAGAAGAGCUGAAGAACAUCAAUGGUCUUCGUGGGCUACUAAAAAUAAAAGGUCUAGAAAAUGUUUCAAGCUAUGAAGAAGCCUGCAAAGCUGAGUUGAAUAAGAAACUUCAUCUUAAUUCUCUGAAUUUGGAAUGGAGCUCCGCUAGUAGAAAUAGCUCCCCUUGUGCUGAUGCAAAGGUACUUGAAGGUCUGCAGCCUCACCAAGACAUCAAGGUACUUCAUAUUAGAAGAUAUUGUGGCACCAAAGCUCCCAGCUGGCUAGAGCCGUUGCAACAACUGCGUUCCUUGCACCUUAUCAAUUGCAGGAGUUUAUGCAUUCUUCCUCCAUUGGGAAAUUUGGGAUCACUCAGAUAUUUACACAUGAAGGAGCUGUGUGCAAUUGACCAGAUUGGACAAGAGUUUUAUGGCACAGGUGAUGUGGCAUUUCCAUCUCUAAGUGUCCUUGAAUUUGAUGAUUUCCCAAAGUUGCGUCAGUGGGCUGGCAUAGAAGACAAGAACUCAUUUCCAUGCCUUGAAAGUUUAAGUCUGAUUGAUUGUCCAGAAUUGAUCCAAAUUCCUUUGUUACCCCAAGCUACUCGUGAAGUUACCAUCGAACGUACAAGGUUGAUACCAUAUAUGAGGCUUGCGCCCUUGUCUUCAAGUUCAGAAAUGCUCCAGCUGGAUGUUUGCGCAAGUUCUGUCGUCCUCGAUAGACUACUCUACAGACAUAAUAUAGAGUCCAUUGCAGUGUUAAACAUAAGUGGGGCUGAACAGCUUGUUGCUUCUGGACAACUGGGGUCUCUUGUUUCUCUGCAAAGGCUUGAGCUCUCUCAGUGUGGUCUUACUGACCAGGCUUUAAGAAGCUUUCUCCAGGAUCUGCCUUGUUUGUCCUCUUUGGAGAUUAUAGACCUUCCUAACAUAACAUCGCUUCCUGUAUCGGGAACAGUCAAGUUCUGCACAAUGCUCACUGAGUUGUGCAUUCGCAACUGCCAGUCGCUUUGUUCUCUAUCCUCAUUGCAGUAUUUUGGUUCACUAAAAUAUCUGGUGGUCGAAAGAUGCCCUGAAGUAACUGCAACAUCUUUUCCGGUGAACCUUAUGAGCCUUGCAUAUCUGAAGGUGCUGAGAUUGUCAUACUGCACAGAGCUUCAAUCUUUACCAGCUCUGCCAUCCUCACUGGAAACACUUCAUAUCUUUGGGUGCCACCCAGCGUUGUCUAGGCAGUCAAGAAACAGGAAUGGGAAUUAUGUUGAGAAGCUUGCAGUUGCACCUAGCGUAUUGAUUCAGUGA